GCAUGGCUUUGCUCUUCAUCCAAAAGAGGAGAGAGAGAGAGGGCUUAAAGGACCAAGCCACUCUUACACAAUUGAAUGAUGGAUUGUGGAAGGGCAGUCACAUCUCCAUCCUCGAUCUCUAAGAUCCCUAAUGUAGAUCUAUGGCGCUCAUUCAUCCAAGAGCCAAUCUCGUUACUAAGGCUGAUGGCACUUAUAAGUGGUCAAGAAAAUAUUUUUUUGGUAAAUAUAACUUCACUAUUAUAUUCAAAACAUCUUUUUAUGCUAAGAUCAACUACUCACAUGCCUCAAUCCAUGCUCAAUUGUAAUUUUCAUGGAAGUUUUUUGUGAGUGUAAAUUUCACUCUUUAACCCCAAUUACAAGAUGGCCUCAAUUAAUAGUUGCUUGUAAUUGGUGGUAUGAAGGGAAGUAAGCAAUUAACAAGAACAAAAAUGAACAACCACAAAACAAUUGAAAUGAAUUACAUAAAGCAAAUACACAAUCAAAAACUAAGUCACAGUCUGUUCAUUGUGUUUUUAUCCAGUAAAAAGUAAAAAGUAAAAAAUAAAACAUAAAAUUUUAGAUAGGUAAUUUUAUUAUCUUUCCAAUGACAUAAGAAACAUGUAAAUCCGAAUUACUAUGAGUAAGUUAUGAAGUUUUAAAAAAUAGGAAGUAAAUAAUUAAAAAAGUGGAGUGGAAAUAUUUUACCUCAAGGAUAAUUUGCUUAUAGAUCAUGGGUUCGAACCUCACCAAGGGUCACAU
rnacentral:lncRNA from 1 species